UACGAAGGGGGCUAGCGUUGCUCGGAAUCACUGGGCGUAAAGCGCACGUAGGCGGAUCUUUAAGUCAGGGGUGAAAUCCCAAGGCUCAACCUUGGAACUGCCGUUUGAUACUGGGGGAUCUCGAGUCCGGAAGAGGUUGGUGGAACUGCGAGUGUAGAGGUGAAAUUCGUAGAUAUUCGCAAGAACACCAGUGGCGAAGGCGGCCAACUGGUCCGGUACUGACGCUGAGGUGGCGAAAGCGUGGGGAGCAAACAGG
rnacentral:rRNA from 1 species